GCCCGCCUAGCUCAAUCGGAUAGAGCGUCAGACUUUUACGAGAGUCUCUCCAGGCGAGGCAUCUGAAGGCUGCGAGUUCGACCCUCGCGGUGGGCU